rnacentral:lncRNA from 1 species
UGAGUGGAAUAAACCUUUAUGUUUUUAAGCAAAUUAAUCGUAUAGUUUUGAGCAUGUUCAUGCAUCAUGAAUGCCAUGUGAUGUUUUAGGUUGUUUGCAUUAGAAUCCACGAAUAUGUUGCAUUGCACAUUUUAAUGUUGAUGUGGAUGAAUGUUGGAUGAUCCAUAGCCCUCGAUCUAUGAUGUGACGAUGUGAUAUGUACGGUACGGAAUGUAAGACCAGUGGGACCCAUUCUACGUUCGCUGGCACUAUGUAAGAGAAAGACCAGGACCCAUUCUACGUUCUGGCACAGUUGGACCAUGUUAUGUUAUGCUAUGUAAGAGAAAGACCAGGACCCAUUCUACAUUCUGGCACAAUUGGACUAUGUAGAGG